GCCGUUAUUGCGGGAGAGAUCGGAUAUCUCCGGCGCCGAAGGAGCAACCGCCCCGGAAACUCUCAGGCAAAAGGACCGCAUACGAAAC
rnacentral:ncRNA from 2 species